rnacentral:pre_miRNA from 1 species
GAGGGUGGGUGCGGUCCCUCAGCCCAGAUUGCAAGAGGGCGCAGGCCAGGCUGAGGGACCCCACCGCACCGG